CCUCUGAGUCCUCUUAGGACAUUAUUUUUAAGUUCAUCUGCUGCACUUACAUCCUGUCUGUCGGUAUCUCUUCAAAGAGCUUCUAAAUUCCCUGAGGACAUAGAUCAUCUUAGACUCCACAAAUAAAGAGGGAAGCAACCUCUAUAGCAUUCAUGCUUUUGACAACAAGAAUAUUCUUUAGCUUGCAUGGUGUGUGUAGAGAAUAUUUUGGAAGCAAGGGGACAGAUCAUGUGGUCUUCUAUCUCUUUUUCAUCUCCACUCUUCUGCUCUUAACUUGGUUCUGACAUUGCUAUGGUGAUCAACAGUCAUAGAACACAUACUUAAGUAUUCUCUUGCCAUGAAGAUGCAGAAUAUGAAGGGUUUGUCACAUCUCCUGGUCACACCUCAGAAGUAGAGAGCUUAUCUUUCAGGUGAUCAGCCAUCAAGCCUCAGGACCUGCUAUAAACUGAAAGUUCAACCAUAUAAUUUCAUGGUAUCCUCAUUCUCCAGCAGUGGCACCUCAGGUUUAAAGGAGUUCUAUUCAAAACUCAAUACCAAGGAGAGCCUCUGUGGAUGAUCUCCCUUCUUCCCCCAACCUCCUUCAAAGGUGACACCUGUUGUGAUGAGACUACAACAUGGUAUAAAGAAUUCAUGGGUGGACACUCCUGUUUUUCUUCAGAGGUGAACUUUGCGCCUGGAGAUGGACCAACUGAUUAG
rnacentral:lncRNA from 1 species